CACUCAGGGAGGGGGUCCCUCAGCCCAGAUUGCACCAGGGUGCAGGCCAGGCUGAGGGACCCCAUCGGUGCACG
rfam:Myotis brandtii contig154932, whole genome shotgun sequence.